rnacentral:rRNA from 1 species
UACAGAGGUCUCAAGCGUUGUUCGGAUUCAUUGGGCGUAAAGGGUGCGUAGGCGGCGCGGUAAGUCGGGUGUGAAAUCUCGGAGCUUAACUCCGAAACUGCAUUCGAUACUGCCGUGCUUGAGGACUGGAGAGGAGACUGGAAUUUACGGUGUAGCGGUGAAAUGCGUAGAUAUCGUAAGGAAGACCAGUGGCGAAGGCGGGUCUCUGGACAGUUCCUGACGCUGAGGCACGAAGGUCAGGGGAUCAAACGGG